UCUCCGAGCCUCAGUUUCCCCAUCUUCCGAAAGGGGCCUGGCAUAUCCUGGGCAGGCAGAUGGUGGAUCAGAGGUAGUGAGGUGCCUACAAGGAAAUGCUCCCAACAGGGUGGCUUGGAGGAAUCCUCCUUCCUCAGCACUCAUGGGCCGGGCACUGUUCUAGGCCGUGGGGGUGGGGAUCGAGCAGUGGCCACACUGACAAAGCCCCUACCCUUGUGGAAGUGACAUUCUACUGAGGCCAUGGACACGUACAGUACCCAAUCUCCCACCCUCCACCUGCCAGAAUGACAGAGGCUCCCCCAUGGAGAUUCCUGGCAUGCCCAGCCCCACGUCUGGGUUGAGAGUAGUGACUCAGAAGAAAAUGAAGGCUACUGCUAGCAACCAAAUGAGGUCACCGUCAAGAUUCCCGGAUAAAAGUCAUUCAUGAGACACA
rnacentral:lncRNA from 1 species